rnacentral:rRNA from 1 species
GUAGGGGAGCAAGCGUUGUUCGGAAUCAUUGGGCGUAAAGAGCGCGUAGGUGGUUGGGUAAGUCUGUUGUGAAAUCCCAUAGCUCAACUGUGGAACUGCGACGGAAACUGCCAGACUUGAGUGCGGGAGAGGAAAGUGGAAUUCCCAGUGUAGAGGUGAAAUUCGUAGAUACUGGGAGGAACACCGGUGGCGAAGGCGGCUUUCUGGACCGCAACUGACGCUGAGGCGCGAAAGCUAGGGGAGCAAACGGGAUUAGAUACCCCGGUAGUCCUAGCCGUAAACGAUGGGCACUAGGUGUCGGGGGGUAUCGACCCCUUCUGUGCCGUAGCUAACGCAUUAAGUGCCCCGCCUGGGGAGUACGGUCGCAAGACUA